GCUUACUCUUUCCAAGUCAUGUUCUUGUCCAUUAAUAAUUUACUUUCUUGUCCAGAUUGCCUGUGAUAUCUUUGAUAGUCUGCAAGACUGCAAUCCAGUGUUAGCACCCCCAAUAUACUCUACUUAGUUGAUAUUUCAUAGAUCAUUUCAGAUACAUAUAUUAUUAGUGAAUGUUGACAGACACUGCAAAAUGGCAAUAUGAAAAAAAAUUCUAUUUAGUUUGACUGUCUUCAAAUUCUCCUUUACAUUUACUUGUGACCCAGCUCCAAUAUGUUCCUUUUGUUGCAGGCCAUGGCUGACAACUUGUAGGAGCAUCACCAGAUAAAGGAAUUGAUUGCAGAAGCAUGGAGCUGGGAUUGCCCAAACUGCAAUCAUGUCAUUGAUAACAGUGAUGCUGUGGAUUCUGGUAGGAACAAUUGGCGAAACUCGGAUGAGCAUGAAAAAGCCAAAGUUGUCAUGUAGUCCUAGUGCUGCCACCAAGUUAGGGGCAGCUCGGCUUAGUGAUGCAACAUCAAUAGCUUAUGCCUAGGUGUUUGCUCCUAACCAAGUAUGGC